GCUGAUAUGGCUCAGUUGGCAGAGCGUACUCUUGUUAAGGGUGCGGCCACCAGUUAGAUUCACGCUAUCACCC
rnacentral:tRNA from 1 species